CUUGGAUCCCGGGAUCAUGACCUGAACCGAAGUCAGAUGCUCAACCACUGAGCCACCCAGAUAAUAGAAGAAUUUUUUCAACUUCUUAAUGUGAAUUUUGGCCACCAGUGUCUUCUUCAAGGCUAAGAUCGCCUUGUGACUGCAUUAUUCUCUUUGCUCCGAGCACACUCUCUUUCUUCUAUUUUUUGACCUAUGCCCCUUCUAACACUGUGGGUUGACAAAACUUACUUCCCUUAGAAUAUGUCAAGAACCAGUAAGGAGAUGCAGCUUAAAAUCCUGCUGAACAGAAAAAUGGACAAAGAAGUGUUGUAUAGACGACUAACAUUUCUAAUCCACAGCAGCUCUAAAGAAGUCCACCGACCACAUGAGAGUCUAAAAAUUGUAGAUGUUAACAAUACUUAAAAAAAAAAAAAAGAAUAAAACAACUGAGGAAAUAUAUGAUAUCCCACCAGUCAACAUUAAUAUAA